rnacentral:rRNA from 2 species
AUGGGCGAAAGCUGAUGCAGCGACGCCGCGUGCGGGAUGAACGCCUUCGGGUUGUAAACCGCUUUCAGCAGGGACGACGCGAAAGUGACGGUACCUGCAGAAGAAGCCCCGGCUAACUACGUGCCAGCAGCCGCGGUAAUACGUAGGGGGCAAGCGUUAUCCGGAUUCAUUGGGCGUAAAGCGCUCGUAGGCGGUCUGUUAGGUCGGGAGUUAAAUCCGGGGGCUCAACCCCCGUUCGCUCCCGAUACCGGCAGACUUGAGUUUGGUAGGGGAAGGUGGAAUUCCUAGUGUAGCGGUGGAAUGCGCAGAUAUUAGGAAAGAACACCAGUGGCGAAGGCGGCCUUCUGGGCCAUAACUGACGCUGAGGAGCGAAAGCUAGGGGAGCAAACAGGACUAGAUACCCUGGUAGUCCUAGCCGUAAACGAUGGACACUAGGUGUGGGGGAAUAUUUCUUCCGUGCCGCAGCUAACGCAUUAAGUGUUCCGCCUGGGGAGUACGGCCGCAAGGCUAAAACUCAAAGGAAUUGACGGGGGCCC